rnacentral:rRNA from 1 species
AUUGAACGCUGGCGGCAGGCCUAACACAUGCAAGUCGAGCGGAUGACGGGAGCUUGCUCCUUGAUUCAGCGGCGGACGGGUGAGUAAUGCCUAGGAAUCUGCCUGGUAGUGGGGGACAACGUUUCGAAAGGAACGCUAAUACCGCAUACGUCCUACGGGAGAAAGCAGGGGACCUUCGGGCCUUGCGCUAUCAGAUGAGCCUAGGUCGGAUUAGCUAGUAGGUGAGGUAAUGGCUCACCUAGGCGACGAUCCGUAACUGGUCUGAGAGGGUGAUCAGUCACACUGGAACUGAGACACGGUCCAGACUCCUACGGGAGGCAGCAGUGGGGAAUAUUGGACAAUGGGCGAAAGCCUGAUCCAGCCAUGCCGCGUGUGUGAAGAAGGUCUUCGGAUUGUAAAGCACUCUAAGUUGGGAGGAAGGGCAGUAAGCUAAUACCUUGCUGUUUUGACGUUACCGACAGAAUAAGCACCGGCUAACUCUGUGCCAGCCGCCGCAGUAACAC